rnacentral:rRNA from 1 species
GACGAACGCUGGCGGCGUGCCUAAUACAUGCAAGUUGAGCGCUGAAGGUUGGUACUUGUACCAACUGGAUGAGCAGCGAACGGGUGAGUAACGCGUGGGGAAUCUGCCUUUGAGCGGGGGACAACAUUUGGAAACGAAUGCUAAUACCGCAUAAAAACUUUAAACACAAGUUUUAAGUUUGAAAGAUGCAAUUGCAUCACUCAAAGAUGAUCCCGCGUUGUAUUAGCUAGUUGGUGAGGUAAAGGCUCACCAAGGCGAUGAUACAUAGCCGACCUGAGAGGGUGAGCGGCCACAUUGGGACUGAGACACGGCCCAAACUCCUACGGGAGGCAGCAGUAGGGAAUCUUCGGCAAUGGACGAAAGUCUGACCGAGCAACGCCGAGUGAGUGAAGAAGGUUUUCGGAUCGGAAAACUCUGUUGGUAGAGAAGAACGUUGGUGAGAGUGGAAAGCUCAUCAAGUGACGGUAACUACCCAGAAAGGGACGGCUAACUACGUG